rnacentral:rRNA from 1 species
GACGGACGCUGGCGGCGUGCUUAACACAUGCAAGUCGAACGGAAAGGCCCUGCUUUUGUGGGGUGCUCGAGUGGCGAACGGGUGAGUAACACGUGAGUAACCUGCCCUUGACUUUGGGAUAACUUCAGGAAACUGGGGCUAAUACCGGAUAGGAGCUCCUGCUGCAUGGUGGGGGUUGGAAAGUUUCGGCGGUUGGGGAUGGACUCGCGGCUUAUCAGCUUGUUGGUGGGGUAGUGGCUUACCAAGGCUUUGACGGGUAGCCGGCCUGAGAGGGUGACCGGCCACAUUGGGACUGAGAUACGGCCCAGACUCGUACGGGAGGCAGCAGUGGGGAAUAUUGCACAAUGGGCGGAAGCCUGAUGCAGCAACGCCGCGUGCGGGAUGACGGCCUUCGGGUUGUAAACCGCUUUCGCCUGUGACGAAGCGUGAGUGACGGUAAUGGGUAAAGAAGCACCGGCUAACUACGUG